CCGGAAAUUACGUAAUGUACGCAAACUGGAACCCACGCAGAUGAAGGAAAUCACUAAUCGAACAAGAUAUUUAUGCAGCACAACACAUGGGAAUUCUCAGAGACAUUGACAAAGACUGAAUUGUCGAAACGCGUCUGUUCUCUUCUACUAUAUCCAGAAGUAUUUUUCGCCCUUGUUUUCAUUUUAACUUUUAGUGUUUUAUCACCAUAAUAAAUCUUUGUAUUUUUUAUAUGCUGCUGCUGCAAUCCUUACUUCCAUGAUCCAUCUGCUACAGUGGUCCAUGGGUAUUCACCGUUGGCCUGCACAGGCACCAUUGGGCUUACUAUACAGAGCCUGACACGGCUCUGGAAUUUGUGAGUGUAACCAUUUAUUAUACAUCAUUCACCUUUAUCCUACAGUACACACUAUGUAUUCUAUUGUUCUGUUUUAGGCACUGCUGAUAUUCGCCUGCCAUCUCCUGACACCAUUCAUUAUAUACUUGUAUUGCUUUUGAAGGGUGCACUUUCACUUUGUGUUUUGCACAUUGUUGUUGUUUUUUAAUCAAAAGGUUUAAAUCACAUUUGUUGUUUGUUACUGUUGUGACUCCAUAUCAAUAUGCAAGCAAACCGCUGCAAGAGAGGAAAAAUAAUAUGAUAUCAAAUGGUGAUGUCACAAUGAGGUAAAAAAAAAUUUGUUUUUUGUUCUUCUUUUCAUUCUUCUAACACUAAAUUCUAACUUAUAUAUGAGCCGAAAGCUAGGUUACUCUCUCAUUGUCUAACACAAAUCUGAAAAUACAUCCAUUUCAUUUCUAUGAUAUAAACCUAGCCUGUAAGGAUCACAUUUUUCAAGUAGUACAAUCCACAGAGGUGCACAUCAAUUCAUUCACCAAUUAAAGAAAGGAAAAACCUAUAACGGUGGUAGGCAACCUUUUGCUCUCCAGAUGUUGUGGACUAUAUCUCCCAUAAUGCCCUUACAGCCAUAAUUUAGGCAAAAAAUCAGGAGAGUUGCAGUCCACAACAUUUGGUGUGCUGAAGGUUGGGUACCCCUUGCCUGUAAUAUCAAUAGGAAAAAUACUAGCACUACAAACCUAUUAAGGAUUUAUUGAAGAAACAAUCGAUUCACUAUCCAUAAUAUAUAUAUACUAGACAUGUGCUAUUUGUUUAGUUCUGAAUGUAUAUUCAGAAGAAUUUCGUGAAAUUUGGACAUUUGGAUGCUUACGAAGUGCCGAAGUUCCAUAUUGCCGAAGAUCCGAAGUGCUUCAGAUUUCUGAAAAGUGGCAAAACAAAAGAGAGGGAGUGAAAAUUACGUGAAUGAUGACAGGAAUCGUGAGCAAUAAGUUAAUUCCUGGCGCUGGGAGCCCAAAAGAUGUGUAAGUGGUUGUGGUGGCAGUCCGGGCACUGGGAACCCAAUAGAUGUGUAAGUGGUUGUGGUGGCAAUCCUGGCACUGGGAGCCCUGCAGAUGUGUAAGUGGUUGUGGUGGCAAUCCUGGCACUGGGAGCCCUGCAGAUGUGUAAGUUGUUGUGGUGGCAGUGAGGGUACUGGGAGCCCUACAGAUGUGUAAGUGGUUGUGGUGGCAGUCCGGGCACUGGGAGCCCCCUGCCCAUUACUCCCGGACUGCCACCACAACCACUUACACAUGUAUAGGACUCCUGCCUCCCAGUGCCCGGACUGUCACAACAACCACUUACAUAUCUAUAAGGCUCCCGCCUCCCAGUGCCAAGACUGCCACCACAACCACUUACACAUCUAUAGGGCUCCCACAACCACCUACCCAUCUAUAAGGCUCCCGCCUCCCAGUGCCCGGAUGGCCACCACAACAACUUACACAUCUAUAGGGCUCCUGCCUACCAGUGCCAGGACUGCCACCACAAGUUCUGAAGUGCCAAAACAAACCGAAUGCCAUUGGUCCGAAUUGCCAAAGCAGACACAUUUUUUUAUUGACCUAAAUUUUUCUGAACCAAGCCAAAUUUUUUGCACAUGCACAUCCAUAAUAUAUACAUAUUAUUGGAUGCAAAACAAAAUAUAUCACAAAAACACCUUUUAUGUCUGCCCCAGUGGCGGAUCCAGAUCCAUGCACAAUAACCACUACAGCUCUGUGUAGGCACAUUGCAGGGCUGGUGCUUGGACAGUGCCAGCCCUGCAUUAGCCAGCAGGGGAGUGCCUCGGCAGGGAGGGGGGCAAUUUCCCCCACUCUGGAUCUGCCAGUGGUCUGCCCCAGCUACUUUUCAUCCAGUUGAGGAAACAUAUCUCAGCUAAAGCUAUCGUCAGACAACCUGCCUUAUGUCAAGAUAUUUGAGAGAGAUUUAUCAAUUACCUUUAUCAACCACUUUUAUGUUUUUGCACCAGUUCUUAAAACUUGCACAUAGACUUAAAAGGGAGGAGUAAAUAAUGCAAUGUGACUAUUCAUUUAACUGGUUUCCAUAGUGAUAUAUUAUAUAUAACACCACUUUUUAGAACAGAACACUUUGAUGUGUCUCAUCUAGGCUCCUUCUUUCUCCCAUGUAAUACUUGAGGACCUAAUUCUUGGGGACUUCAACAUUCCCAUUAAUCUACCCCUGGCCUCAGUAGCCUCAAAAGUACUUUAAAUGACCUCCUCUCUUCAGCUAUCGCAGUGGGCUAAGUCCCCUAUCCAUGUAGCUGGAAAUACCCUUGAUCUUAUUUUCUUUCAUGAAUGUACAAUCUCUAAUCUCUGCAACACCCCAUUUCUUCUCUCAGAUAACCACCUCUUAACAUUUGCUUUCAAUAGCCCCUUACCCCAUCAUCUUCAACCUAACCCCUUCAACUAAGAAUAAAUCUGAAUUAUAUUGACCUCCAACAGCUAUCAGCUAAUAUUGAUUCCCAACUUCUAUCCAUCCCUACUUUCUCCUAUCCCUCACUGGCUAUCUCCUCACAUAACACUACCCUCACCUCUGCCCUGGACGCUGCAGCCCCACUCCAAACAUGCACCUUGAGGAGAACACGCCUCCACCAUGGCACACUAAAUCAAAACGCUACCUGCAGAGUUGCUCCCAUUCUGCUGAACGCUGCUGGAAGUCUCGCACCCAGUCGGACUUCUUCCACUACAAAUUCAUGUUGCAUUUACCCUUGCCCUUGCCAUACUUUUCGUCCCUCAUUAGCCCAUGCUCCUGCAAUCGCAGGCAUCUUUUUAAUACCUUUAACUCCCUUCUUUGCCCUGCUGUUGCCAUCCCCCAAACUAACCUUACAGCUGAUAGCUUUACAUGCUACUUUACCGACAAGAUUGAACAGAUAAGGAAAUAAUUCUCACCACCUUGCCCUUCCAUUUCUCAACCACACCUGGAUCAUGCCAUUCUUACCCUUCAGACUUUCUCCCAGGCUACUGAACAAGAGAUGGCUGCACUUCUCCUUUCCUCUCGCCCCACCACUUGCCUACUUGAUUCUGUCCUGUCUCUCCUCUUGUCUUGUGCCUUCCAUAACACACAUCUUCAACCUCUGCAUACAUCUGCUUUCUCUCUUCUGGUGUUGUCCCUGUUGCCCUUAAACAUGCUACUGUAGUACCCAUCUUAAAGAAAACAUCUCUUGACCCAUCCUUCCCUUCUAACUAUUGUCACAUAUCCUUGCUCCCUUUUUCCUCAAGGCUUCUGGAAAGACUGGUCUUUACCCAUCUGACUUGUUUCCUCAAUUCCAACUCUCUCCUUGACCCUCUUCAGUCUGGCGUCUGCCCCCUUCACUCUACUGAGACUGCUCUUAAAGUCACUAAUGACCUAAUCACAGCUAAAUCCAAAGUGCACUACUUCAUACUAAUUCUUCUUGACCUCUCUGCUGCCUUUGACACUGUUGACCAUGUUCUCCUACUCCAAACUCUUCAAUCACUUGGUCUCUGUGACACUGUCCUCUCUUGGUUUUCCUCCUAUCUCUCCUAACACUCAUUCAGUGUCUACUUUUCUAAUGAUACCUCCUCCCUUUGUCCUGUCUUGGUUCGAGUCCCCCAAGGCUCAGUUCUUGGUCCCCUUCUAUUUUCUCUUUAUACUCCCUCUCUUGGCAAAUUUAUUACCUCAUUUGGAUUCCAAUACCACCUGUACGCUGAUGACACUCAGAUAUACCUCUCCUCCCCGGACCACUUCCUUGCCGUCCUGCAACGUGUCACUACUUGCCUUUCUUCCAUCUCUGACUGGAUGUCCUCAUUAUUAUUGAAACUCAAUCUCUCUAAAACUGAACUCCUUGUCUUUCCUCAUCCUUCAAGUUAGUGGUACCCACAUCAGUCCAUCCUUGUGUAGCGUUACUUACCUUAACCGGGGGCCGGUCGCGGUCCUCUCUUCAAGCCGCGCGCGGUCCUGCGGCUGCACGAGCCGCGCGCGGCUCAUCCAACUACUUCGGCUGGAGGGCGGGCAGUGACCGCGUGAGGCGGUCACGUGUCCCGCCUGAAACUAAGAGCGCGCCGCGAGUCUCGGGCGCGCUCUUAAAGGGACAGUGGGUGCCUAAAUUGGAAAAGGCAUCCCAUUGGUCCCUGUCAUACCACACUCCCCAUACACUUACCUUUUGGGGGCGUGGAUAUGACAGGGACCAAUCAAAUUAGAUGUUUAGGUAUUUAUACUCACCUUCUUCCCUUUGUUCCUUGCCCUAUCGUGGUUUCUGUUUCAGUUCCCUUUAGCGCUUGUGGUGUUCAGUUGUGUUUUCUCGUAUUGACUUUGGCUUCGUAUUCUGACUUCGUUUUCGCUUUAUCCUUAUCUGUACUGUUUGCCGGCUUGCUGUUUUCCGUGUACCAGACCCCGGCUUGUCCUAGUUUACGCUGUCUCUCUGUGCCCUUGACCUCGGUUUGUUCCUGGCUCUGUCUUCUCUCAUAUACGUCGAGUCCGGCCAUUCUAAGGUCCGGUAGACGUAUCUCUCCUCUGUAUUUGCCUCUGUUUAGCUGGAUCCUGCGUGUAGGGGUAUAUUCUCGUUACAUUACGAUAGGGCCAUGGACCCCGCAGAUUUAGCUCAACAGAUGGCGUCCCAUGAGGCAAGAUUUGUAGAGCAGGAUCACCGUAUGGAUCAAAUAGCUCAGGCUCUCCAGACGCUCCUAGCUAGAACCGUUCCAGCAACUACACCUAACCCUCCUACGCCCCUUCUCCCUGAAGUAUCUACUUUGCCUAAUACUUCGGCCCAUUUAACACCUCCUCCUAGGUAUGGAGGGGACUCUAAGACUUGCAGAGGGUUUAUUAAUCAGAUUGAAUUUCACUUUGAAAUGUAUCCACGUUCAUUUCCCACAGAGAAGUCUAAGGUUGGGUUCUUUAUGCACCAACUUACCGAUAAGGCACUUGAGUGGGCAAAUCCUAUUUGGGAAGCUAAUGGGCCUAUGGUACAUGAUUUCAACAGUUUUCUUACGGCUUUUCGUAGAACUUUUGACACAAUGAAAAGGUCAAAGAAUGCCGCAAGAGCAUUAAUGAGAAUUAAACAGGGUUCUAGGUCUGUGGCUGAUUAUGCUAUUCAGUUUCGCACUCUUGCUUCGCAGGUAGAUUGGACCAACAAUGGGUUAACUACUGCCUUUAUGGAAGGUUUGUCAGAUACGAUAUUGGAUGAGGUAGCAGCUAAGGAGCUUCCUAUUGCCUUAGAGGACCUUAUCGAUUACCUCAUUGAUAUUGAUAAUAGAAUUCGUGACAGGCUCUAUACCAAGAACAGGAAUAGACGUUUUGUUACACCCAUUAACCCCAGAGUUAAUAUACCAGAGAGUGUUAAAGUGUCUGAGGAGGAACCUAUGCAAUUAGGGGUUGCCAAACUCUCUGAUACUGAGAAAUUACAUAGGAGAAGGGAGGGACUCUGCCUAUACUGUGGUAGGAGAGACCAUAUGGUAAAGGAAUGUCCUUUACUCCCGGAAAACUCUCGCACCUAAGACCUUAUAGGGGACUGGCCUUGGGUGUGAUAUCUAAGUCUCCUAAAUUGCCUCCUAACCGCUUGCUUCUCCCGGUUUCUUUAUAUAUGGGAGAGAUUUGUAUAGUUGACAACAUAUAUGCUCUGGUUGACUCUGGGGCAGCUGAAAAUUUUAUAGACUCUGGCUUUAUAAAGAGAAACAACAUUCCCAUCAGAGAGAAGGAGAUACCCUUGGCCGUUGAGGCCAUAGAUGGUAGACCAUUAAGUUCUCCAGUUGUUACUCAUGAGACUGAACCACUACACAUGUACACAGGGGUUUUACACUACGAAACCAUUCGAUUCCAGGUUAUCACCUCUCCCUCUUCACAGUUAGUAUUAGGGUAUCCAUGGUUACGUGCUCACAAUCCCAUUUUUGACUGGGAGACAGGGCAAAUAAAAUCAUGGAGUAAGGCCUGCCACGAGUCUUGUACGUUGGAAGUCACACCUUUGAAUUCUAUUGAGGUACCUACCAGUCCUCCUUUGUCUAUGGUUAUACCCCCUCAGUAUUUAUCUCUAAAGACUGUUUUCGAUAAAAGGGAGGCUGAGAAAUUACCGCCUCACAGACCCUAUGAUUGCGCUAUUGACUUGUUGCCUGGCACUAUACCUCCAAAGGGCAGGGUGUACCCCUUAUCGGUUCAAGAAAACCGUGUCAUGGAGGAGUACAUCAAGGAAUCAUUAGAAAAAGGGUUUAUUAGGAGAUCCUCUUCUCCAGCUGGAGCAGGGUUCUUCUUUGUAUCGAAGAAAGAAGGUGAUUUAAGACCGUGUAUAGAUUAUAGAGGUCUAAACAAAAUCACUAUCAAAAAUGCAUACCCUAUACCUUUGAUUACAGAAUUAUUUGACAGGCUGAAACAUGCCACUGUGUUCACUAAAUUAGACCUUAGGAAUGCAUACAAUUUGAUACGUAUAAAGGAAAAUCACGAAUGGAAGACUGCAUUCAACACUAGAUCCGGUCAUUACGAAUACACUGUUAUGCCAUUUGGGCUUUGCAAUGCCCCAGCAGUAUUCCAAGAAUUUAUUAAUGAUGUAUUGAGAGAUUUUAUUCACACAUUUGUUAUCGUAUACUUGGACGACAUUUUAAUAUAUUCUGCAGAUAUACACACUCAUCACAGACAUGUUACGACAGUUUUGAAGACCCUUCUUGCUAAUGGUCUUUAUUGCAAGCUAGAAAAAUGUCUGUUUGACCAAACCGAAGUCCAGUUCUUGGGGUAUUUGAUUUCCGCUAAAGGUUUUCGUAUGGAUCCCCAGAAGCUAGCUGCUGUAAUAGAAUGGCCUCUACCGCAAGGUCUGAAAGCUAUUCAGCGUUUUCUUGGGUUCUCCAAUUAUUAUAGACGUUUUAUCAAAGGUUUCUCGUCCAUUGUAGCACCUAUUACCCGUAUGACUAAAAAGGAUGGCAAUACUCGUGUUUGGUCUACCGAGGCACUUCAGGCUUUUGAAUUUCUUAAAACUACGUUCGCCUCUGCACCUAUUUUACAGCAUCCUGUCCCCUCACUGCCCUAUAUUCUUGAAGUUGAUGCUUCGGAUAUUGGGGUAGGUGCUGUCUUGUCCCAAAGAGAGUCGCCUGAGAAGCCAUUGCAUCCAUGCGGCUUCUUUUCUAAACAAAUGUCCAAAGCAGAGAAAAAUUAUGAUGUGGGUAAUCGUGAACUCCUUGCUAUUAUUUUAGCACUUAAAGAGUGGAGACAUUUGUUAGAGGGAACUAAGGAUCCUAUCCUCAUUUUUACGGAUCACAAGAACCUAUCCUAUCUUAGCGAAGCCAAAAGAUUGUCUUCCAGGCAGGCUAGGUGGUCACUAUUUUUGUCUCGUUUCAAUUUUAUUAUCACCUAUAGGCCAGGUGAUCGCAACAGAUAAGGUGCAGGAGAGCAGAGAUAUAUUUUUGAAGAUUCUCCAAACCAGCCUCAGAUCUCUCGGUAAUAGGAACACCUCGAGUGGCUCUGAGCACAUAUUAUUGACUAUGUGCAGGCAGCCCAUAAACUAACCAGCAAGGUUGUUUUCCGAAACACACACUUGUCAAAAGAAUAUUCAAUUGCAAAAUGUUUUUUCAAAUGUGAAACACCAAUAGAACAUCACCUCCAAAAACAAAGUAUUGUAUUAAAAUAGACAAAAGAGGAGCAAACAUUGAACCAGAUCGGUCACAAAACUAAAAGGUCCAGGUUGGAUAAGGUGCCACCUAGUCUGGAAAGUUAAAUACAACCUAUGUUCUGCUGUGAUUGUUGUUAUCCUUUUCUGUAAUAUUUACUUUGUGUUAUUUUUUAUUUUUUUCUCUACCACUUUAAUUAUUGAUUGCUAGCUCACUUUAAGUGGCCCUUUCUCACCCUCUGAACUACAGUUCAGACUAUCCACAGGGAUGCUGUCCAGCUCUGAACCUAGUUGGGUUCCCCCACAGCUAUCUAAGGCAAUUCACACUAGCCGACAAGAGAGCACCCACAUAAGCAUAAUAUGGAGGGUAAUAAUCCCCCCCACCCACAUUUCCCAUGUCAGUACUAGAAUAUCAUCCGUUAUAGUAUGGGCGGGGGUACCCUCUCCAAGGGUUAGUAUUGAGCCCCAUGGAAUACAUCAGUUUAAUUUUACAUGUAUAUCCUACAUUUUGUAAAAAAAAAAAACCCUCUCUUCACUACUUAUAUUUAUAUUGUGAUACUACUGGUUAUGAUGUGCAUAUUGUAUCUAUCUCCUGCAAUGUUAUACUUGAUGUGACAGACCUCUCUGUCUUUGGAUUACUGUGAUUUAACCUUGGUUCGUCUGUUUGUUCGGUAAUUGCCACUUGUCCGUACGGCCCUACGUUUUAUUCCCCUAUAUACAAAAGAACUACCGAACGGCAGGCCACCCAGCAGGGAAGUGUGCUGCUUGUUAACCUUUCUGCCCUCAUUAACACUGUGGUCAACUGCAGACACUUCCAACUCCCAAAUGGUCACCUGGGUGGUCGUCGUUCGUAUGAUCAAACACGUGGCCAUCUUGGACAGUCGAAAGCCCAGCACUGUUCGUCAGCAAACCCGUGGAACUAAAAUCGGACACUAUUUCAUAUGAACACCGCUGAAGUCACCGACCCUUCCUCGUUCCGUUCCAGAUUGAUACGACCACUUCGGUACAUUGACUUUAUAUGAACAGAGCUGUCCCAGAUAGCCAUCCCAUGGAGCCCAUUCGUUUAGACAAACGCACUUUGUUCAAGACUUUAGCUCCAUGGAGAUUGAACUGUGUGUAUGAGAUCUGAGCGCUAUUCGGUUAUAUUGUGCGCUCAAAUCUAAGCUAUCUGGGAAUGUGGGGAUUCUGUUCGGUAGUUUUGGGAAUAUAUAUUUUUAUGUGUUUUUAUGCUCACUAUAAAAUGGAGGAUAUGCUCUAUCCCUGGAGGUAAUUGAGUUACUUCUAGCACUUAACCCAAUUACCUCCAGGAUAGAGAGGAGGGUUUGUAAUGUUCAUGUGUGAGUGUUUAUCGCUGUAUAUGUUUCUGAUUGGUUAAUGUAUAAACUUGUCCCAGUCUUCCACAAGGUCCCUAUGGGAGUGUCCCUUGGUGGAAGACCUGCAUAAAAGACGGGCAUGUAGCCCACAUUAAACAGAUCCUGCUUGACCCUCAAUACAGAGCCUCGUUUCGUACUUGGGGGGAUUUAUUUGUGUGUUUUCCUGUUCGGCGCUUAGGAGUGUUCGGUAGCUGACUUCAGGGAUGAAAAGAAGUUAAAAGUUCUCAAUGAUUAAUAUUCCAAAAGAUAGAACAACACAUGAUAAUAUACAGCAUAGUAGAUUUGUUGACUGUAUGUGAGCUUUAUGUAAACAUGAAGACAAAAACUGAAAAUGGAAGAGUCAUCAAUGCAAUGUGCCGACUGGUUCAACUGAUUUCCAUGGUGAUUGUCCCCAUUUUAGUAGAGUAUACCACUACAAUAUGUUGAAAACUGAUGAAAGAAUUGUAAAAUGUGAAGAAAAUUAGAUAACCUUGAAAAAUAGGCUAGAUUUUUUUUUUGCAAAUAAAACAUAAAUGCAUAUGUUUUAUAUAUGCAUUUUAAUAAUUUUCCACAAUUUUAGAGGUAUAUUAUUUUUAUGCACAUUUAAGAAGCAAUAUUAUAAUGUAUUCAUUAAUAUUGAUGCAAAUUGUGAUGUCUUUCUGUGUUAUAAACAUUUUAUUUGUUUAUCUUUUCUUCCUUUUAUUGGUACAUUUGAGAUUUUAUGAACUAUCUAUUUAAGAACUCUUGUUAUGAACAAUAAAGAUCAUGACAAUGGAACGCAUACGGUGCGUUCCACGGAGAAUGAGGAAGUAAAACAGCCAAAUUUUACGACCCAAGACGGUGGAAUGCAUAUGUGCGUUCCAACGAAGAAAAAGGAAGUCAAACAGCUGAACCACAUGAUUUACGCACGCACGUACGUGCGUUCCAACUAGCUCUGUGUGCGUUCCACAGAGCGAAUUUCCGUUCCGGCAGAUGCCGGCAAUUUUGUCAUUAGACGUAUAUAAAAGAACAAGAGGACAUACGACUAAUAUACCAACUGAGGAAGCCAGUCUACUGGCGAAACGCGUUUUGGAACUAUUUUAUGCAUUUUGAUCUACUUUGUUUUUAUAUACAUUUUAUAUUGAUAUUUUUAAUAUAAUAAAUUUUGUUUAUACCGUCCUUUGGAGUCUGCCAUUCCAUUCCUACUUGAAUUUAAGGUGGAAGACAUCAGGAGGAAAUAAAAAGAGGGUGGUGGAUCUCCCUUAGAAGAUCCUAAGGCGCUUACCACUAGAGCCAAGUGUGCUACUGGCUCUACCUUUGUGAGUUACCCAUCUACAAUUUAUCUUUUAUUUUUAUCUAUUUGUAACUACCAUCUGCACUAAGAUUUAUUGCUAUCUAUUUACAGAUCAUUUUUACAGCAUUUGUAUUUACCUUCAUUAUACUACUGUUUAUACAGGUAAUCCAGAGCUCCACUUAUACUUUGUUUAUUUGCAUGUUCUAUGUUGUGGAGGUCAAGGGAUUCCUUCACCUAAGUGUCAGAGCCUGUUUUCACUUUGCUGGGCUUGUGUGCACCGUUUUCAUUGUGUAUACAUAGAUUUUUUUUUUUCACUAUUCAGCUAUUUUGACCUAAAAUGCAUAAUUCUCUAUAGUUUACCGAAUAAGCCAAUUCCUUAAACAUAGUCAUAAAAAGGGAAUUUUACAACUUGAAUCAUAGUUAUUACUGCUGAAUUAGAGUUACUUACUGCAUGUAAGAAAAUGUUUUGCUUUUUGUUCUAUGCUAUUUGUGUGAACUCUUUGAAUACUGCAAGAAAAAUGACUUAAAAUAUCUAAUAUGUGUACCUGUCAAUAUUGAACAGGUUUCUUCCACUUCUGUUAGCUCCACAGAGAAGCUUUUGAAUUGUUAAGUCCCCGACACAGACAGAAAUGGGGAGGGUUUGCAAAGACAGCAGAAAGAAGGUAUGCCACUUUUCCAAUUCAGUGGAAUGCUCCUUUAAAACAUUUAUGUAUACAUGUAUGUUUUGCUUAAUUUUACUGAAAAUAACUAGUAACCAGCUAGUAGGGUUAAGGAUUGAACAGUAUUAAAGUAACGGUAAGCACCAAAACUACCUCAAGUUGACAGUGCCUAGGAUGUACCCCAGCAGCCUGACAAAAGCAAAUUGAUAUUUGUGGAAAUAACAAUACUAGCAUUUGUCAGUCAGAAUUCCUGUAGUGACUGUCACUCAGAAAGCCACAAGGGGCUCUUACAUUUGAAAACUUUCAAUUAUUGAAAGCCUUCGUUUUCGGUGCCACUGAAUGCAUUGAAUCAGUGUGUGUGUGUGUGUGUGUGGACUCAGCAGUCUGUGUGUGCAUGGACUCAGCUUUCUGUGUGUGUAUGGACUCAGCAGUCUUUGUGUGUGUGUGUGUAUGGACUCAGCAGUCUGUGUGUGUGUGUGUGUGUGUGUAUGGACUCAACAGUCUGUGUGUGUGUAUGGACUAAGCAGUCUGAGUGUGUGUGUGUGUGAGUGUGUAUGGACUGACAGUCUGUGUGUGUGUGUGUGUGUGUAUGGACUCAGCAGACUGUGUGUGUGUGUGUGUGUGUGUGUGUGUGAACUGUGUGUGUCUAUGUGUGUAUGUGUAUGAACUCAGCAGUUGUGUGUAUGGACUCAGUAGUCUGUGUCUGUGUGUUUAUGGACUCAGCAGUCUGUGUGCGUGUGUGUGUGUGGACUCAGCAGUCUCUCGCUGUGUGUGUGUAAGGACUCAGCAGUCACCGUGUGUGUGGACUCAGCAGUAUGUGUCUGUGUGUGUGUGUGUGUGUGUGUAUGGACUCAGCAGUUUGUGUGUGUAUGGACUCAGCAGUCUGUGUGUGUGUGUAUGGACACAGCAGUCUCUGUGUGUAUGGACUCAGCAGUGUGUGUGUGUGUAUGGACUUAUCAGUCUGUAUGUGUGUGUGUGUGAGUGUGGACUCAGCAGUCUGUGUGUGUGUAUGGACUCAGCAGUCUGUGUGUGUGUCUGUAUGGACUCAGCAGUCUGUGUGUGUGUAUGGACUCAGCAGUCUGUGUGUGAGUGUGUGUAUGGACUCAGCAGUCUGUGUGUGUGUGUGUGUGUAUGGACUCAGCAGACUGUGUGUGUGUGUGUGUGUGUGUGUGUGUGUAUGAACUCAGCAGUCUAUGUGUAUGUGUACGAACUCAGCAGUCUGUGUGUAUGGACUCAGUAGUCUGUGUCUGUGUGUUUAUGGACUCAGCAGUCUGUGUGCGUGUGUGUGUGUGGACUCAGCAGUCUCUCGCUGUGUGUGUGUAAGGACUCAGCAGUCACCGUGUGUGUGGACUCAGCAGUAUGUGUCUGUGUGUGUGUGUGUGUGUAUGGACUCAGCAGUUUGUGUGUGUAUGGACUCAGCAGUCUGUGUGUGUGUGUAUGGACACAGCAGUCUCUGUGUGUAUGGACUCAGCAGUGUGUGUGUGUGUAUGGACUUAUCAGUCUGUGUGUGUGUGUGUGUGUGUGAGUGUGGACUCAGCAGUCUGUGUGUGUGUAUGGACUCAGCAGUCUCUGUGUGUGUGUGGACUCAGCAGUCUGUGUGUGUAUGGACUCAGCAGUCUGUGUGUGUGUGUGUGUGUGUAUUGACUCAGCAGUCUGUGUCUGCAUAUACUCAGCUUUGUGUGUGUGUAUGGACUCAGCAGUCUUUGUGUGUGUGCGUAUGGACUCAGCAGUCUGUGUCUAUGUGUGUAUGGACUCAGCUUUCUGUAUGUAUAUUGACUCAGCAGUCUGUGUGUGUAUGGACUCAGCAGUCUGUGUGUGUGUGGACUCAGCAAAUUGAUAUUUGUGGAAAUAACAAUACUAGCAUUUGUCAGUCAGAAUUCCUGUAGUGACUGUCACUCAGAAAGCCACGAGGGGCUCUUACAUUUGAAAACUUUCAAUUAUUGAAAGCCUUCGUUUUCGGUGCCAUUGAAUGCAUUGAAUCAGUGUGUGUGUGUGUGUGUGUGUAUGGACUCAGCAGUCAGUGUGUGCAUGGACUCAGCUUUCUCUGUGUGUAUGGACUCAGCAGUCUUUGUGUGUGUGUGUAUGGACUCAGCAGUCUGUGUGUGUGUGUGUAUGGACUCAGUAGUCUGUGUCUGUGUGUUUAUGUACUCAGCAGUCUGUGUGUGUGUGUGUGGACUCAGCAGUCUCUCGCUGUGUGUGUGUAAGGACUCAGCAGUCACUGUGUGUGUGGACUCAGCAGUAUGUGUCUGUGUGUGUGUGUGUAUGGACUCAGCAGUCUGUGUGUAUGGAAUCUGCAGCCUGUGUGUGUGUGAUCUGUGCAGUCUCUGUGUGUAUGGACUCAGCAGUGUGUGUGUGUGUAUGGACUUCAUCAGUCUGUGUGCGUGUGUGUGUGUGUGUGGGGAGUGUGGACUCGUGCAGCCUGUGUGUGUGUAUGGACUGUGCAGCCUGUGUGUGUAUGGACUCGCAGUCUGUGUGUGUGUGUAUGGACAGUCUGUGUGUGUGUGUGUGUGUGUAUGGACUCAGCAGUCUGUGUGUGUGUCUGUAUGGACUCAGCAGUCUGUGUGUGUGUAUGGACUCAGCAGUCUGUGUGUGAGUGUGUGUAUGGACUCAGCAGUCUGUGUGUGUGUGUGUGUGUAUGGACUCAGCAGACUGUGUGUGUGUGUGUGUGUGUGUGUGUGUGUAUGAACUCAGCAGUCUAUGUGUAUGUGUACGAACUCAGCAGUCUGUGUGUAUGGACUCAGUAGUCUGUGUCUGUGUGUUUAUGGACUCAGCAGUCUGUGUGCGUGUGUGUGUGUGGACUCAGCAGUCUCUCGCUGUGUGUGUGUAAGGACUCAGCAGUCACCGUGUGUGUGGACUCAGCAGUAUGUGUCUGUGUGUGUGUGUGUGUGUAUGGACUCAGCAGUUUGUGUGUGUAUGGACUCAGCAGUCUGUGUGUGUGUGUAUGGACACAGCAGUCUCUGUGUGUAUGGACUCAGCAGUGUGUGUGUGUGUAUGGACUUAUCAGUCUGUGUGUGUGUGUGUGUGAGUGUGGACUCAGCAGUCUGUGUGUGUGUAUGGACUCAGCAGUCUCUGUGUGUGUGUGGACUCAGCAGUCUGUGUGUGUAUGGACUCAGCAGUCUGUGUGUGUGUGUGUGUGUGUAUUGACUCAGCAGUCUGUGUCUGCAUAUACUCAGCUUUGUGUGUGUGUAUGGACUCAGCAGUCUUUGUGUGUGUGCGUAUGGACUCAGCAGUCUGUGUCUAUGUGUGUAUGGACUCAGCUUUCUGUAUGUAUAUUGACUCAGCAGUCUGUGUGUGUAUGGACUCAGCAGUCUGUGUGUGUGUGGACUCAGCAAAUUGAUAUUUGUGGAAAUAACAAUACUAGCAUUUGUCAGUCAGAAUUCCUGUAGUGACUGUCACUCAGAAAGCCACGAGGGGCUCUUACAUUUGAAAACUUUCAAUUAUUGAAAGCCUUCGUUUUCGGUGCCAUUGAAUGCAUUGAAUCAGUGUGUGUGUGUGUGUGUGUGUAUGGACUCAGCAGUCAGUGUGUGCAUGGACUCAGCUUUCUCUGUGUGUAUGGACUCAGCAGUCUUUGUGUGUGUGUGUAUGGACUCAGCAGUCUGUGUGUGUGUGUGUAUGGACUCAGUAGUCUGUGUCUGUGUGUUUAUGUACUCAGCAGUCUGUGUGUGUGUGUGUGUGGACUCAGCAGUCUCUCGCUGUGUGUGUGUAAGGACUCAGCAGUCACUGUGUGUGUGGACUCAGCAGUAUGUGUCUGUGUGUGUGUGUGUGUGUGUGUGUGUAUGGACUCAGCAGUCUGUGUGUGUAUGGACUCAGCAGUCUGUGUGUGUGUGGACUCAGCAGUAUGGACUCAGCAGUGUGUGUGUGUGUAUGGACUUAUCAGUCUGUGUGUGUGUGUGUGUGUGUGUGUGUGUGAGUGUGGACUCAGCAGUCUGUGUGUGUGUAUGGACUCAGCAGUCUGUGUGUGUAUGGACUCAGCAGUCUGUAUGUGUGUGUGUGUAUUGACUCAGCAGUCUGUGUCUGCAUAUACUCAGCUUUCUGUGUGUGUAUGGACUCAGCAGUCUUUGUGUGUGUGCGUAUGGACUCAGCAGUCUGUGUCUAUGUGUGUAUGGACUCAGCUUUCUGUAUGUAUAUUGACUCAGCAGUCUGUGUGUGUAUGGACUCAGCAGUCUGUGUGUGUGUGGACUCAGCAGUCUGUGUGUGUAUGGACUCAGCAGUCUCUGUGUGAGUAUGGACUCAUCAGUGUGUGUGUGUAUGGUCUCAGCUGUCUGUGUGUGUGUAUGGACUCAGCUGUCUGUCUGUGUGUGUGUAUGUGUGUGUGUAUGGACUCAGCAGUCUGUGUGUGUAUGGACUCAGCAUUCUGUGUGUGUGUGUGUGUGUAUGGACUCAGCAGUCUGUGUGUGUAUGGACUCAGCAGUGUGUGUGUGUGUGUAUGGACUCAGCAGUCUGUGUGUGUAUGGACUCAGCAGUCUGUGUGUGUGUGUGUGUAUGACUCAGCAGUCUCUGUGUGUGUAUGACUCAGCAGUCUGUGUGUGUGUAUGGACUCAGCAGUCUUUGUGUGUGUGUGUAUGGACUCAGCAGUCUGUGUCUGUGUGUGUAUGACUCAGCAGUCUGUGUGUGUGUAUGGACUCAGCAGUCUUUGUGUGUGUGUGUAUGGACUCAGCAGUCUGUGUCUGUGUGUGUAUGGACUCAGCAGUCUGUGUGUGUGUAUGGACUCAGCAAUCUGUGUGUGUAUGGACUUAGCAGUCUGUGUCUGUGUGUGUAUGGACUCAGCAGUCUGUGUCUGUGUAUGGACUCAGCAGUCUGUGUCUGUGUGUGUAUGAACUCAGCAGUCUGUGUGUGUGUGUGUGUGUAUGGACUCAGCAGUCUGUGUGUGUAUGGUCUCAGCUGUGUGUGUGUGUGUGUGUGUGUGUGUGUAUGGACUCAGCAGCCUGUGUGUAUGGACUCAGCAGUCUGUGCCUGUGUGUGUGUGGCCUCUGCAGUCUGUGUGUGUAUGGACUCAGCAGUCUGUGUGUGUGUGUGUGGACUCAGCAGUCUGUGUGUGUGUGUGUGUGUGUGUAUGGACUCAGCAGUCUGUGUAUGUAUCUAUAUGUGUGUAUGGACUCAGCAUUCUAUCAAUAACUACAAUUCCUGUGAGUUAUUGUGUAGGAAGGGCCCAAGUGCACUGCUUUGCCUGGGGGCCCUUAACGCUGUUAAAAUGGUACUGCUUGUUCGUGUCAGUGAGCUUCUAUUUAGUGAGCAUGUGUGUGUCAGUGAGCUUGUCUUUAGUGAGCUUGUGUGUCCCCCUGAACUUCUUUGUAGUGAGCCUUCUGUUUAUACAAGUGAGUUUGUCUGUAGUAAGCUUGUGUGUGAGUCAGAGAGUUUUGUCUAUCAUGUCAGUGAGCUUGUGUGCUUACUUACUGUAAUAUAUAUAUAUAUAUAUAUAUAUAUAGUAUUGACUUGUAGGAAUGGCAUCAUUGUUUUGCUGCUUUGGAUUUCCAGGGAUUCCCAGUUUGGCUCUGCCAGCGAGUGCACUUUACCGCUGAAUCAUCUGUGUGAGCUGCCGCACACUUUAGCCCUGUUACACGCGUCUGGGAGCUGCUGUUGACAGGUACUAGUAGUCUAGAGAUUUGGACAUGGGGUAUAUGCUCAGCUAUCUGUAUAAUACAGAUCUGUGUGUAUAUAAUAUCCCAGGAUAGUCAGUGCUUCCUGUAUAGUGCUGCUCUCUGUAUAGUACAAACCUGUGUCUGUAUAAUAUCCCGGGACAGUCAGUGCUCCCUGUAUAGUGCUGCUCUCUGUCUUGGGAUAUUAUACACAAACAGACCUGUAUUAUACAUAGAGCAGCCCUAUACAGGGAGCACUGACUGUCCCAAUUUAUUAUACACACAACCCUGUAUUAUACAGAGAGCACUGACUGUCCAGGGAUAUUAUACACAGACAGUAAUUGAUAGCUGUGCUGCAAAAUGUCCUUGGAAAUUUUUUUCAAAUGUUGGCAACUAUGGCACUGUAUCAAGGGCAAUGUGUUUGUUUUUUAAUAAUCCCUGGUGGAAAAUAAUGACUCCUCCACCAGGGAUUAUUAAAAAAAAAAAAACACAAUGUGUCUGAGGCGGGGUAAAACUGCGGAGAGGGUGGGGUUAAAUGUGCCCCUCUACUUUUGUCCCUGGCCCAUCAUGUGCCCCCCCUAAAAAUGAAUCCUAGAAACGCCACUGCUGUAUACAAAAACAUGCUUACAUUUAAAUGCAAAAACACUGCUCACAAGUACAACCCUUCAAGAAUGGCCAAAUUAUAGAUCCCAGCUGGCAUAGCAUUGUGGGAGUUGUAUGACAGAUGGGGAUUUAUCUUUUUUCCACUCUUGCAAAAAUAUUCUUGCACCAGGGCCCUCUCUACAUUAGUUCUGUUUUAAUGCUAGAGUGUUCAUUUAAAAUGCUAGAAAAUGUUUGUCAGUUAAGAAUGGCCUAAUACUUCUUCUUGUAUAGUAAAAUAAAUCAUACUCUGUUUAAUGUUUUUUAUUACAUUUUUUUAAAACAAUUUUUUGUUUGAAUAAUAUGUAACCCUACGUUGAAACUUAAACAGAAUUUGCUCUCUAUAUUAGUGAUUGGCAACUUUUUGGCACUGCAGUACUUUUGGACUCUUACUCCCAAAAUGCACUGCCAGUCAACAGCUAGCAUUCUUAAUCUUAUCAAUCGUUGCUCUGUUAUUUAAUGCCACAAGCAAUUUGCAGUAUUCUUUUUUGUCCGUAAUAUGUCCUUUUAAAAAAACAAAAAACUAUAAUUCAACCACCUUAGGUUAAUGUAAUAGGCAGCUAUAAAUGCAUUGAUCAAAACUGACAGUCUACUUAAUACAUUUUAAAUUGAAGCUUUCACAAAAACAACAGGGGUUAAUAAAACACAGUAGAAAAAAAAGAAAAUUUUAUUAUUUUGUUAAUGGUUUGCUUCUCCUUGUGGAUCCCUGCAAAAUGUAUUCUGUGUAUUCUGCCUGUGGAGUGUUCAUCUUAUUCAGAGAGCAUUGCCACUUGCAAAUAAUGACACUGCAAAGUGUUUCACAUUAUAAUCCUUCCAUAGCCGAGACUGCUAUGAUAACCAAUGGGCAAUUCAAUUAAAAUAAAAGCAAUUAAAGCUGAUGUUUCAAAAAACUAAUUUGAAACCAGACAUUUACAACUGUGCAGAAGAAAAUAAAAACUUAUUCUACAAAGAGAACAAGUGGGCAGUGAAAAUUGUAACCUCUCUCCCACUGCUGCUAAAAUGUAUACAUCACUUUCACUCAAGUAAUCUAUGUGGGUGGACAAGGUGGUGCCCUGGGGCAAGGGGCCCUUCUAUACAUCCAUGAUUUUAUUCAUAAUAAAAAACAAUUCCUUCUUGUUUAAAUCACAUUUUCACUUGCUUUUAACUCUUUUUGUGACAGAUGACAUCAGUAAUGUUACAGUAAGUGGCUGCCUUGUCAUGAAGGGGUUUAUUUAUGCUGGAACUCUAGUGACAUAGACUGUAAUGACAACUAACUAGUGCUUAAAGGGUCACUCCACUGCCCAGAUAAAUUUAAAAAUAUCAUUGUUUAGUACAUACCCCUAACGGAAGCAUGCAUGCAUGCAUUUAAUUGUGCAUUUUCCUCAACUGGGGUAUAUCUAAAACCAGCUUGCAAAAGCUGCAGAUCUCUUGCAUUUGCAAGUCAUCCCAUUCUUCCCCAUCCUUCCCCAGUCUUUCUUUGGCUGUCCAAUCACAGACUUCAAUGCAGCUCAAUGAGAAGUCUUUGCAAGGCAGGUGCUCUGGGCAUUUGUCUGACUCUUGGAUUUAGCUCCAUUCAGCUAAACAACCAGCAAGUAACAGGACCGGCUUUCUGAUUGACAGCCAGGGGAAUGUAGAGAUAGUUUAGAUCCAAACUAAUCGCUAUGAAAGACAAGAAUAUAGUGUAGUAUGUCAUUAUUGUUGAUGAUGUAGAUAAGAGAGAUACACUUACAGCUUUUUGGAGCUUUUAUCCAGCUCUAAAUGUGUGCACCUGGGAGGUACAACCCCACCUGUGGAUAUACUUGUAGUUUUGAUUUUAUGACGAGGAAUUUCUUGGGCCGAAAUCUUAUAGAAGAUGUAUGUAUAUAGGAGUAGCCUCUAUAAGGAUGUUGCAUGUCCACGGUCAGAUAGGCUUUGAAAGGCGUUCACUGAUGAGGGUAUAUACUAAGAAAAGAAAACAAAAUAUAGUGUUCUCUUGAUAAAAGUAAUACUUACUUAAAAACUUACCUAAUUUUAUUUUCCUGGCUAUCAUUCAUUAGUCUCCCUCCUUUCAUUUCUUUGACUUUACAACAGACUGCAGUAUAGAAGGAGGAGGUACUUGUUUUGCAUGCAGUCUCUUAAUUAGAUUUGAAUUUCCUGUUCCAAUUUAUCUGGUAGUGGAGCUACCCAUAAGUGAUGUUGCUAUGAAUAAUAGGCAGGAAAGAAAAAUAACAGUAAGUAUGGUUUAAAAGAAAAUUUCUAAACUGAAAAAUAAAAAUGUGUAAGGAAGAAUUAGUUUCUAAGUUGGCUAUUGUGGCCAAAAAUAUUUUAAAUUCAUUUUGAAAUCACUUUGAAUUCCUGACCAUUCUCUCUUUAGUGAAUAACCCAAUCUAUCAAAAGUUUCAACCAUGCACAAAUUAUACUACAACCUGACUAAAUAAAACCAAACUUAUCACGGUUUAGGAUAAUUUCUCAGAGGACGAAAGGACACAUUUAUUUCAUUAACACAAAAAAAUAUAACCUGCAAUGGCUUUGAAACAAACCACAAAUUACAUACAAUAAAUAGUAGCUUAGCAUUAUAAAAUGUCAACAAAAACUUAACACCAGGAAGUUUCUAGUGCUGAAUUAUACAAAAAAUCGGCACAUUGGUAUUGAAUGGGCAAUUUGUCACUGUCUGAUGCUGCCCUAAGUUGGUACUAAACUAAGCACUUUCCCACCCUAUGUUAAACUGAAAUGUUGAUGAAAUAGGCAUGUUGCACUGUCUGCUGCAGUACUGAAAUAGUACAAAUAUUGGCACAUUGUCUGCUGCACUGAAAUGGUACUGAAAUGGGUGCACUGUCAUUCUCUACUGCAGUACUGAAAUGGGACUGAAAUGAUCUCAUUGCCAAUGUCUUCUGAACUGAAAUUGUGCUGGAUUUGUCACAUUACACUCUCUGGUACAACACUAAUAUGGUACAGAUAUUAUAAUAUGUCUGCUGCACUGAAAAGGGCACAUUGUAAUGUCUGCUGCAGCACUAAAAAGGUACAGUAAUGGGCACACUACCACUGAAUGCUGUAGUAGUUAGCUCUCACUAGAAAGAUUGCUUGAACUUUCACAAUACGAGCUUCUGGUACCCAAGAAUUGUCUAUCAACUCCAGACAUUGGUCCCAAAAAUGUAUUAACCAACCCCAACUUAAUCCAUAUGUAAGAAUAUUUUUUGUGAGAAACUUACAAAGCAGAGUGUCUUUGCAUGUUUGGUGGGGUAAGGCAGAAAACUGUUAUUUUAUUUAUUCUCUUGAACAAAUAAAAGGUUGCUAUUUCAUAUGAACAAGCUAAUUCUGCCAAAGCUGUCAUUUUUUUAUAUAUAUCUAUAUAUAUAUAGAUAUAUAUAUAUAGAUAUAUAUAUAUAUAUAUCUAUAUAUAUAGAUAUAUAUCUAUAUAUAUAUAUAUAUAUAUAUAGAUAUAUAUCUAUAUAUAUAUAUCUAUCUCCUGUGCACAUAAAAUAAUUUGGAUGUAUACACAUUUUUUUUUUUUGCAGUAUGGGUAGAUAUUCCCUGCUUGUUCUCAUCUUUUUGCUACAUGCAGUGGCGUACACAUGACCCACUAACACUAACACACUAACACACACGCAUGUUUUUUUUAAAAAUUGAAUCCCCCAGCCUCCUUACCUUUUGGAGUGCUGAGGGGAUUCCCUGGGGUCCAGUGGUGCUGCUGGGCUCCUGGGUGGCCGGUCACCCGGCAGAAGGGACUGAUGCCGGAGUUGGAAGAUGACGUCCCUCGCGCACCCGCAGGACCGGCCGCCCGGUGACAGCAGGGCCAACCUCGGGGGGCCCUGUGGUGGCCGGCUCCUGGGCCCCCCAGGGGAAGAGGCUGGCCACAGAGGCAUACAUACCGGGGCAGGGCGGCCGGGCCCACUGGUGGGCCGGGCCCGGUUGCAGCCGCAUCCCCUGUAACCCCAGUAUGUACGCCACUGGCUACAUGGGAUUCUUGGGCUACAAACAUUUUUUACUAUAGUGUACAGUACAACCAAUGCAUGUUACAUCAAAUAUGAUCACUGACGAAAUUAAUUCCUUGUUGAAUGACUUUUUCCAGAUGGAAUGAGCUUUACACAAAGCAACUCUACAAAUGAGAUUAUUUCCCUGCAGGAAUUACUGUAUACUGGAUGAGAUUUCCGUAGGAAUAAUCACUUACUAUCUUGUUAUUGAUCUUGCUGUAUACAGAUUUUGAUAGUGUAUUUUAUUAAUAUUAGCACUCUAAGCACAUAUUAAGCACUUGGUACUUUUAUGGCACUUGUCACUUUAAGUUUAUAUAUCUUCACUCUCGUAAUAUAGAAAUUGGAGUUGUAUCCAGGUAUAUGGCAAUGUUCUGCUAAUAUAUCUUUAUAUUUUCUUCAUGUUGAGUGCGGUAUCAAUUUUUGUAUUUUGGAUAUUUCAUUUUUUGGCCUGAGGGGGUGGCUAAGAUACCAGCACCUAUAAUCUGAUUGUGUGCUAGCACACUUUGUAAUUGUUUAUAGAAUUAGGUCUGACUCUGUAUAUGUUUAAAAUAACUUGUAUAAUUUCUGCCACAAAGUCCUUGAAUUUUUCAUAAAAGUAUGUGUACCAUCAGAAAAAAAAAAUGCUGCUCCAUCUUGUUUUUUCAUUUAAGUGAUAAGUGAAAGUGAGUUCAAAUUGAAUUCAAGUUAAGGUCAAAAUAGCCAAACUUGAGAAAUUCUCUGCUUCUACGUGGUCCUUUCCCUGGUUGCUUGUGAUUCCUAGGAACCCCUGCUCCAUUUUCUUUUUUUAAAGGGGGGCAGAGGGGGUAGCCCAAUGUCAGUCCUUUGUUCAGCCCUGUUUCUUAUACAUUAAAAAAGCAGCUUCUUCGAUUUUCUAUAGCCGCACAAUUAAAUGGAUUUAAAUGGCUCAGAGGAUACAGAGUGUGUCAACAAUUUGCUAUUAAGCAGGAUUUUAAACUAAUCCUCUGUAGAUCAGUAAGUGAAUAAUUCAAAACAUGGACUGGUCUGUUAAAAUACUAACUAAACUCCCUAAGCUUAUUGAACCUUUUACUUGCAUGUAAGACUAUUACCAAAUCCACUGGUUAUUGAACAAAAGGAUAACAAUGAAAUGCAUAAGAACAGAUUUUUAUAUCCAUUUUGGAACACUGCAUUGCAUCAUUAAUCACAUAUUACUGUGAAGAAUUUAUUGAAUCUCAACUUAAAGGACCACUACAGGCACCCAGACCACUUCAGCUCAAUGAAGUGAUCUGUGAGCCAGGUCCACCUAGUUUUAACCCUGCAGCUGAAAACAUAGCAGUUUUCAGCUGGUGGCGGUCUCCCUGACAGCUGCUAGAGACCGCUUCCGCGAUUUACAUGGAGUAAAUCGCACUUAUUUGAUGCUGGACGUCCUCACGGAGUCCGGUGUCAAAAAAGAUUCCCAUAGGAAAGCAUUGAGCAAUGUUUUCCUAUGGGCGGGUUUGAAAGUGUACGCGCCUCUGGCCGUGCAUGCGCAUUCGGCUCCACUCGGAAGCUGACGUUGAUGGAGGAAGAGAGUUCACCAGUGCCGAGGGAGCCUGGCGCUGGAUUAAGGUAAGCAAAUAAAUGGUUAAUUAACCAUUUAUUCACAGCAGAAUAGGGCCCUAGUCACCUAAAUGGUGAAGGGGCUCUACAGUCAUACAUAGUAUGUAUGUAUACGUAGUAUGUAUGUAAAUAUGUAUUCCUAACGCUAUAGUGUUCCUUUAAAGGACCACUAUAGUGCCAGGAAAACAUACUCGUUUUCCUGGCACUAUAGUGCCUUGAGGGUGCCCCCACCCUCAGGGCCCCCCUCCCGCCGAGCUCUAGGGAGAGGAAAGGGUUAAACUUACCCCUUUCUCCAGCCCCGGGCGGGGGACUCUCCUCCUCCUCUCCUCCUCCAUAGCGACAUCAUCGGCUGCAUGCGCGGCAGGAACCACGCACGUAUUCAGCCAGUCCAUAGGAAAGCAUUCUCAAUGCUUUCCUAUUGUCACAUAUUCAUCCGCUUAUAGAAAUGUGGUUAAUGACAUUUACUGUCCACACAGGAAAAGUUGUGCCAAGCAGCAACCUAAUCCACAGAAGGGUUAAUGCUGAGCAGUAAUUGUGCAAAUGAAACCUGGUGUCAUGUAUUCAUCCGCUUAGAGAAAAGUGAUUAAUGACAUUUACUGUCCACACAUGAAAAGUUGUGCCGAGCAGCAACCUAAUCCACAGAAGGGUUAAUGCUGAGCAGCAAUUAUGCAAAUUAAACCUGGUAACUGACUUUGGGGUCAAAGGCCGGUUACAGCCUAUCAGAACUAAAGGAGGGGUAUUUAGGCCCAGUUCUCAGCCUGCUCAGUGCCCUGUCGUGGUUUCCCUUGUGGUUGUCUGAGAGCGCGUUCCUGUUUAUAGUUUUCUACCUGGUUUUUGACUUUGGCUUUGUUUAUUGACUUCUCUAUAUUCUGGUAUCCUGACUCCUGGCUUUCCUCAUCGCUGUGUCCCUUUCUGUGUUCCCUGACCUCGGCUAGUAUUUUUGACUAUUCUUUGUACGUUAAAUCUGGCCAUUCUAAGGACCGGUAAUACGUUACUUAUUUGUCAUCUGUGCUGUACAGUUCUACGUGCUGGAUCAAACAGUAAUCCUGACAUUACGACAGGGAAUUCAUUUACUCAUUUGUCUUGGUUUAUUUGGACGAUAUUUUGGUGUAUUCCCCUGAUCUUCAAACUCACCACUCCCAUGUGAAACAGGUUCUGCAGACGUUGUUGAAAAAUAAACUUUAUUGUAAAUUAGAAAAGUGCAUAUUUGACCAGCCUGAAGUCCACUUUUUGGGUUACAACAUCUCUGCAUCGGGAUUUCAAAUGGAUCCUAAAAAACUAGAGGCUGUACUACACUGGCCAUUACCCUCUGGUUUAAAAGCCAUUCAAAGGUUUAUUGGUUUUGCCAACUAUUACAGAAGAUUCAUCAAGGGAUUUUCUUCUGUAAUAGCCCCAAUCACAAAUAUGACUCGCAAAGGGGUUAGUAGCACGGUAUGGUCCAAAGAGGCUGUGAAUGCUUUUGAGACUCUUAAACAAAGAUUUGCCUCUGCGGACAUACUAAAACAUCCUGACACCAGUAAACCUUUUAUAUUGGAGGUUGAUGCAUCCGAGACAGGGGUAGGGGCUGUUCUCUCUCAGAGAGAAAGCCAGGGAACACCAUUGCAUCCUUGUGGCUACUUCUCCAGAAAGAUGUCUCCUGCUGAGCGCAACUAUGAUAUUGGCAAUAGAGAACUGUUGGCCAUUAUUCUUGCCCUCAAGGAGUGGCGACAUCUUUUGGAGGGUUCCAAGGACCCCCUGUUGAUCAUAACCGACCACAAAAAUCUGGCAUAUAUAGGGGAUGCCAAACGUUUGUCUUCCAGACAGGCUAGAUGGUCACUGUUCCUUUCACGUUUUAACUUUCUCAUUACUUAUAGACCUGGUUCUAAAAAUACCAAGGCUGAUGCCUUGUCCAGGCAAUUUGAUAAUGAGUCAGCUCCGGAACAGAUGACAUCUCCUAUUAUUCCAGCAGAGUGUAUUAUUGCUACUACUGUCCUCUCACUGUCUUCUCCACUGCUUGGCACUAUACUGGAGGCCCAGCCUCAGGCGCCCAGUGGUAAACCGUGUGAUAAACUGUUCGUUCCCCUAUGUGAAAGGGUUAAUAUCAUGAAAGUGUUCCAUGACAAUAUAACUGCUGGACACCCGGGCAUCAAUAAGUCCACUGCCGCGAUCACUAGAUCAUUUUGGUGGGAUUCACUCAGGAAAGAUGUAAAGGAGUAUGUGCAGGCAUGUUCUGUGUGUGCAGUUUCUAAGGUGACUCAUGCACUUCCUUGUGGCCUGUUGCAGCCUCUUCCUGUUCCUGAGAUUCCAUGGUCCCACCUAUCCAUGGACUUUAUUGUUGAGCUUCCUAGCUCUGCUGGGUUCACUACUAUUCUCAUGGUUGUAGACCGAUUUUCUAAGAUGGCUCACUUCAUUCCUCUCAAGAAGUUGCCAUCUUCGCAAGAUUUGGUCCUAAUUUUCAUACGUGAAAUUGUCCGUUUGCAUGGCAUCCCCCACAAUAUUGUGUCUGAUAGGGGCUCUCAGUUUGUGUCCAGGUUCUGGAGGGCGUUCAGUAAACAAUUGGGGAUUGAUCUCUCCUUCUCCUCCUCCUACCAUCCACAGACCAAUGGUACAGCUGAGAGGGCUAACCAGUCAUUAGAAGUUUAUUUGCGUUGUUUUAUUAAUAGCACACAAGACAAUUGGUCCGAACUACUCCCGUGGGCCGAGUUCGCUAGAAACAAUGCUGUUCAUGACUCCUCUGGGCACAGUCCAUUUUUUGUCAAUAAUGGUAGGCAUCCUACGGUUCUCCCUGCGGUAUUUUCUGAUACUGCCAUUCCUGCUCUGGAUGAGCGUCUGGCCUCCAUUCGGGAUACCUGGGUUAAGGUUCAAACUGCUCUAGGGGCUGCUGCUGAACGCUUCAAACAUUUUGCUGAUAAGCGUAGGAGUGCCAACCCGGUGUACCAAGUGGGGGACCGGGUUUGGUUGUCAUCUCGCAACAUCAAGCUUAAGGUCCCUAGCAUGAAGUUUGCCCCCAGAUUCCUUGGUCCCUAUAGAGUGCUUCGUAGGAUCAAUCCAGUGUCUUACUCUCUGGCUCUUCCUGCAUCUUUAGGGAUUCCCAACACUUUUCAUGUGUCCUUACUCAAACCUCUUGUCUGCAAUAGAUAUACUGUUCCUUGUGUUCCUCCCCCUCCGGUGGUGGUGGGUGGUCAGGAAGAGUAUGAGGUAUCUUCUAUCGUGGAUUCUAGGUUUUCUCGGGGCACUUUACAGUACUUGGUUGUUUGGAAAGGUUACGGUCCUGCUGAUCGUUCUUGGGUUUCGGCUCCUGACCUGCAUGCGGGCCGUAAGAUCCAUGCUUUUCACACUAAAUUUCCUCUCAAGCCUGGUCCUGUCCGCCCGGUGGGCGUUCUUCAGGUGGGGGGUAAUGUCACAUAUUCAUCCGCUUAUAGAAAUGUGGUUAAUGACAUUUACUGUCCACACAGGAAAAGUUGUGCCGAGCAGCAACCUAAUCCACAGAAGGGUUAAUGCUGAGCAGUAAUUGUGCAAAUGAAACCUGGUGUCAUGUAUUCAUCCGCUUAGAGAAAAGUGAUUAAUGACAUUUACUGUCCACACAGGAAAAGUUGUGCCGAGCAGCAACCUAAUCCACAGAAGGGUUAAUGCUGAGCAGCAAUUAUGCAAAUUAAACCUGGUAACUGACUUUGGGGUCAAAGGCCGGUUACAGCCUAUCAGAACUAAAGGAGGGGUAUUUAGGCCCAGUUCUCAGCCUGCUCAGUGCCCUGUCGUGGUUUCCCUUGUGGUUGUCUGAGAGCGCGUUCCUGUUUAUAGUUUUCUACCUGGUUUUUGACUUUGGCUUUGUUUAUUGACUUCUCUAUAUUCUGGUAUCCUGACUCCUGGCUUUCCUCAUCGCUGUGUCCCUUUCUGUGUUCCCUGACCUCGGCUAGUAUUUUUGACUAUUCUUUGUACGUUAAAUCCGGCCAUUCUAAGGACCGGUAAUACGUUACUUAUUUGUCUUCUGUGCUGUACAGUUCUACGUGCUGGAUCAAACAGUAAUCCUGACACCUAUGGACGCUGGCGUCUUCUCACUGUGAAAAUUACAGUGAGAAGCGCGGAAGCGAAUCUAGCAGCUGUCAAUGAGACAGCCACUAGAGGCUGGAUUAACCCUAAUGUAAACAUAGCAUUUUUUUCUGAAACUGCUAUGUUUAUAGAACAAAGGGUUGAUCCUAGCUGGACCUGGCACCCAGACCACUUGAUUAAGCUGAAGUGGUCUGGGUGCCUAUAGUGGUCCUUUAAAUUAAUCAAAAUGCAAUGUGAAUUAAAUUUAAAUGUACUAACCUAGUAUAAUGAGUAUUAUUUAUUAAGGGAACUAUAUCAUGUUUCAGACAUGGCUAACACACAUUACACAAAAGGUCAAGAAGAGAUUUUUGAUUGGACAUACUGUGAUACUGUGGUUGUGGGUAUUUCCCAUUUGCUAGAGGUGAUUUAACUUCUAAUGUUGAUAGAAUUUCAUUAAUGUUGUUUUGGUGCUUAGAACCCUUUAAAAAGGGCUCAAAUGCAGUGGGUUCAUUGAUUUAUUUUUUUUGUAAGGACCCUUAAAAUAUUUUUUACUAAAAUCAUGGCAAUCAAAGAGAUUGGAAAAAUAUAACAUAAAUAAAUCAAGUCGGAAUAGAUAAAAUAACUAAAUUACCUACUUUCAAUUUUCUAUUGUUGUUGCAAUUAUGUCAUAGGUGUAGAAGGGCUAAUCCAUCAACAUAGCAACAACUGAGUAUAGGGACAUGGGUAUUUAACAAAUCUAUUUUGAAUAGGUGGAAACUAGACUUGGAGAUUUGUUUCGGUCCAAACUGCAACUUAUCCAAAUUUGGACCGAUCAAAUCCCCGAACUCAGAGCCAAGCAUGUUCGUUUUCAUUUGUGGUUCUGAACUCAUCCCACAGCAUAAUUUUAAGGGAAAAAUAUGAUUAAUGGCUAAGGGGCAGUCACUAUAUGUUGAGAAGUGACCAACAGAGGGGAAAAUGCUAGAGCAGUAAAAAAAAUUGAAAAAAUCAGAAUUUAUAUAUUUAAUAAAUAUAUCAUAUAUGAAUAUAGUUUUUUUUUUCAUCUUUGUUUUCCCCUUUGUUGGUUACUUUUUCUCUCUUGAUCUGUAAGCCAAAUGGCAGGAAACUGCUCCUAAUAAUGUACUGCACAAUAUACAUAUAUAAAAGUAAUUUUCACUUUCUUUUGGUUCAUCUCAUAAUUUUCCAGAAUCAGAUUUUUUUUAGUACCAAUAUUCUGCCAAGUUGAACCGACAUGUAGCUGAAAUUUUGACUUCCAAAGAAAAAAAAAUUUCAGGAACAAAAGAUUUAGCUGAAUCUAAUUUUCUCACUCUCACAAUUAUAGUGUCAAGUCUGCCUUAAAGGGUCUGAAGGGUCUGUCGGGGAACCAUAACAACUUAAUCAGAAUGAAAAAUUAAUACCACAAUGCAGAAUGCCCAGUGUAAAUACUGGAUGUAUUUCUGUAGAAUUCUCUCACUUUACUACAGAGUUAUUAUUUCAUUUUGAAGUUUAGCAAGUCUAAUUGCCUUUUUGCAUGCAUUAUUUGCUUCCUUAUAUCUUUUAUAAGAUGCAUCUGAUUUGUCCGAUUUAAAUGCUUUAAAUGCCCUUUUCUUAGUUGUAAUCUCUUGUUUUACUUCUCUACUAAGCCACAUUGGUUUUAAUUUGUUUCUUUUAUAUUUAUUUCCCAACGGUACAUACUGAGAAAUUUAACUUUUUAAUAUUUGUUGGAAGAUGAUCCAUUUAUCCUCAGUGUUCUUUUCACUAAAGAGUUUAUGCCAGUCAAUAUAUUGUAAAGCUUCCCUUAACUUAUUGAAAUUGGCCUUUUUAAAAUUAUAUGUUUUAGUAUUCCCCAUGUGCUUUUGUUUUUUUGAGUUUAUUUCAAAGGACACUAUAUUGUGAUCACUAUUUCCCAAGUGCUCACCUACUUGAAUGUUGGUCAAAAGAUCAACGUUGUUUGUUAAAACCAGGUCCAGACAAGUGUCCAUUCUAGUUGGUGCUUGUACAAGUUGUGACAUGUAGGUGUCAUUUAAAAACCUAAUUCCCUUUGCUGAGGUACUAGUCCCUCUGUCCCAAUUUUAUAUCUGGGUAAUUAAAAUCUCCAAUAAUUAAAGUGUUACCCAGAUUUGCAGCUUUCUCAAUUUGCUCAAACAGCUGUUGUUCCUCAUCAAUAUUAACAUUAGGUGGUUUAUAACAUAUUCCAACCAAUAGUUGGUUUCCCUUCUUUUCCCCCAAGCAGAUAUUUACCCAUAAAGCUUCCACAUUAUCCUCCUCGCAUUCCAUUUGCUUAACAUUUGGCUUUAAAUCAUGGUUGGCAUACAAACAUACCCCACCACCCUUCUUGUAUUUCCUAUCCUUCCUAAAUAACAUGUAUCCAUUUAAGUUAGCUGCCCAGUCAUGUGUCUCAUCCCACCAUGUUUCAGUUAUGCCUAUUAUAUCAUAUUGUUUAGUGUAUGCUAAUGCCUCUAGUUCCCCCAUUUUGUUAUAUAGGCUCCUUGCAUUAGUAAGCAUACAUUUAAUAUUAUGUGUCAAUGUAAUCACAGUUAUUAAAAAAUGAAACAACCAAGAAUUUAAAUGGAGGAGUGGGCUAGGGAUCUACUUAAUCUAAGGCACAAUAGUUGUGGCCUGCCCAAUGUCUAGAUAGGAGUUCUUUCAAUUCCAUACCAAAAUAUGUCUCUCACUGCAAAAAAAAGUUAGUAGACCCCAGUAUUCUGUGCAUCUCCUUCAAUGUUAAGUGUCACUCACAUGCAGAGAAUAAAAUUAGAUGUAUCUUUAAAAGUAUCUUUAAAAUGUAUUGUGACAGACCACCUGGUACCCCGACUGGGUACCUCCUCCAAUCGCUGCUUCCUAGUAAUCCUUAAGUACCAUAAGCACCGCACCAGACACCAUAACCACUCCAAACCCCACAAAUCACCGCAGCUUAGUUAGGGUCUCGCUGUUCUCCACCCACCCUGGACACAAGACAAGGGUACAGAGCAAAGCAGGCUGCUCUUCCAAGAGCAAUCAUUGUAAGCCAAUGGAGUAUAGUGAUUAUAGCAAUCCCCAGAGUGAAUAUAGCUCUCCAAUCCCCCAAAUAUGAGCCUAGAUUUCAUGAUGGGUAAAACGAAUCUCUGUAAUGGCAGCCACAACUGGCCUUAUAUGCAGGUCCCUAUGCAAGGGGCACUCCCCCUGGACCUGAGAGUAGACUACAGUAAAAACAUACACACAAUUACAUUGGCUCUCAGUUCCAGGACACUCCUACAUAAAACAAGAUAAUCCCUCCUCUCAGGGCCGGCCUUAGGCCUUUAGGCGCCCUGUGCAAAAAAUCUUCACAGCGCCCCCCCUCCCCGUCAUCCAUGUAUGAUGUAAUGUUUGUGUUGUCUGUGAUAGUAGGUGUGAUGACUGUGUGUGAUAUGUAUGUUUUGUGUUGGCUGUGUGUGAUAUUUGUAAUGGGUGUAUUAACAGUGUGUGAUAUGCGUGUAUUGGUUGUAUGUGAUAUUUGUUCUGGGUUUAUUGGCUGUGUGUGAUGGUUAUUUAAUUCAGAUAAAAACAUGCAUUUAGGCCUGUGUGUGAAUGCAAGUGUAUAUUUUUGCAGAGUUAUGUGCACAGUCAGAUGCACACAGUUAUACAUAUACACUGUCAAAACCACCACAUGCAGAUAGUCACAUUCACAGGAUCAGGCAGAAACACACAGGUACAGGCAGUAACACACAUACAGUUACAGGUAGAUAAACCUACUCACACACAAUCACAGGCAGACAGCCACACACACACACAGGCAGCCACACAUACAGUUUUACACACACACACACACACACACACACAGCCACACAUACAGUCUUACACACACAUAUUUACAUGCAGACAGCCACACACACACACAUACACACAGGCAGACAGCUACACAUACACAAACAGAGUCAGAUGGCCAUACACACACAUGAAGACAACCACACACACAGGCACAGGCAGUCACACACACACACAGGCAGACAGCCAAACAAACACACACAGGCAGACAGUUACACACACACACACACAUAGGCAGACAGUCAUACACCUAGGCAGACAGUCACACACAGACACACACACACGCAGGCAGACAGACACACAUACACAGGCAGACAGUCAUAUACACACAGGCAGAAAGUCACACACAUAGGCAAACCGUCACACACACACACAGGCAGACAGGCAUACACAGACACACAUACGGGCAGACAGUCAUGCACACAGACACACACACAGGCAGUCAUACACACACACAGGCAGACAGUCAUACACACAGAAACACACACACAGGCAGUCAUACACACACAAACACACACACACACACACAAAGGCAGACAGUCAUAUACACAGACACACAGUCAUACACACACACAUAGGCAGACAGUCAUACACACAGAUAGACGGGCAGACAGUCAUACACACAGACACACACACACACAGGCAGUCAUACACACAGACACACACACAGAGGCAGUCAUACACACAGACACACACACACAGGCAGUCAUACACACACACACACACACAGGCAGUCAGACAUACACACACACACACACACACACAGGCAGACAGACAUACACACACACACACACAGGCAGACAGUCACACACACACACACACACAGACACACAGGCAGACAGUCACACUCACACUGACAAUCACACAGUUACCUGUGGAGUUCAUUGUGGAGGCAGUGCAGCUCCUGGAGACUAUUUGGUGGGGAAGCAGGGACUCCUUCCUGCUUCCCUGCAGCAGUCAUCUGGUGCUUUUAGCUCUGCCCCGCCGCACGGUAAGCUCGGCCCCACCGCAAUUUUUUUAUUUUUUUUAUUUUAUUUAAAUUCCAGCUGGCCAUGUGUGAACGGUGUCGGCACACCCCUAAGGCCGGCCCUGCCUCCUCUGUGCCUGGGAGAUAAUUGAGUCAGGCACUGUAUUAAACUCAAUUAUCUCCACGCACAGAAAACAUAAAUGUUUACAAAACCCCACAAAAGUUACAUCCCCUGAUAGCCCAACAUAUCCAAAAAUCACCCAGAUCGGUUCAGGGGUUCGGGAAUUUCCUGGAAGUCAUAAUUUGACCGGCCGUGUACAUGGUCCCAUGCCCAAAACAGUUCCAGAGAAUCAGGGCUUGCGGUCGGUCUAAUUCGGUAGUUUAAAAACUGAACAAACUAUUGAACAUAUUAAAGAGUCUUACCCUGGAGCAUGUUCCCCUUGUUCGUGGGAACGUUUCCACCGAACAGUGUCUUCCUUAGUGUUAUAACAUUGAAAACAGGCGAUCAUGGAAGUCCAGUGGUGUUCAGGAGUUUCAGUGUCCGAAAAUAGUUCCAUGAACUCGACAACGAAAUACCGCUGCCUGUUUUCAUGCAAACAAGAUGGCUGCCACCUGGUGGUCGUCCAUAGGAAAUGCGGCCACCCAGACGAACACUUAGAACACUGCAAUGGAAAUUGCUACAAAGUAGCAAUUAGGCUUAACAAGCUCCAGGGUGGUCUCUGGUUCGUGCGGCUGUUCGGUUCCCGAACCCUAUAGUACAAAUACACGAACUGAGACUUUUUCAGUGUAUAUUACAGGGCUCAUAGUCUGUGAGCAGGAGACUGGCAAGCAGGCUUCUCCAGGAGCUCAUGGCAAACUCACUUGGAAAGGGGAGUUUGUCACAUGUAUCUUUAAAUUUCUAACACAACAUGUAUAUUUUCCCUUUAAUACAUAGGGCUGGUAAUGCAUACCACUGUUCAUACCACUAAUAUUCAGAUUUUAAUGGAUACCUGUGGCUCCUGUUAGUCAUCUGGGUCCAUUUUCAUGGGCCCCAUAAUGACCGAUGAGCUCUGUGCAGAUCUUGAAGUCAGUGCAGCACAGAGCCCUUUAACUCCAAUCAUAAAACUGUGGCUGAGCAAUCGCCCAGAAUCUGAAUAGACCUUGGCAGGGUCUCCCAGCCUGUCCACAGGAGACCAGGCUUCAUUCAUAAUUACAAGUAAGUGGCGAUCACAUACCACUAUCUACUGUGCUAAAUAGAAAAACUUUUCUUCACUAUCAGACCUGAUAUUAACAGUGGGUUCAGUUCGGUUUGUGGUGGGGUUGCGGUUAGGCUCAAUUUUAGCAUUAAGGUAGGGCUAGGGUAUAAAUUAGGGAUAAGAGUAAGGUAGGAUUAUAAUUAGUGUUAGAUUAGGGUUAUGUUUAUGGUUAGGGUUAUCUGUAGGGUUAGGUUUACUGUAGGGUUAAGGUAAGAUAUGGGUUAAUGCUGGGUUUGGUCAAUACUGUUUUAUGGUUAGAGUUAGAGUAGGGUUAAGGUAAAAUUAGGUUAUGCAUAUGGCUAGAGUUAGAGUGAGCAUUAGAAAAAGGGUAUGGUUGGUAUAGCAUUAGUGUGGGGCUGGGUAUGGGGUUAGCAUUAAGUAUCAAAAACUAAUUUAGCUUCUAGGCAUAUUGGGCAUUUAACAAUCAGUACUGAGAUACUAAGCUAUUUUGAGCUCUUUUUAAUUAGUUUCACUGGAUAUGUAAAAAUUAUUACAAGCAAAAUUGUGAAAAUAUUAAUUUAUUCCCAAUAUUUUCAAAUUUUUAACAUUGUAAUCACAUGUAAUGUUGUGUUAAGUAUACAUAUAUGAUAAUAAAUGAAAGCCAAUUAUGUAUUUUAAAAAACAAUAUAUAAUAUGUUUGAAGGCACUUGAAGAGAAACCCUUAAAUUACAGUGAAAAUACCUAUAUUCACCUAUAUAUCAAACUCAAGGUUUUAUUUUUGGUUCAAAACAUGGACAAUUGCCUCUGUCCUUAAGGGUUUCACACUUUUCCCCAGCAACAUGGGCUAACCAAUGCUUCUCUACAAAUGCACUGUAAGUGACAACUCCUCCUUACUUCUCUCACAAUCUACAGCAACCUUUGUAGCUCAAACUUCCUGCUUGCAAUAUAGCACCUAGGGAGGGUUAUGAUUGGCUCUGAGAACACCAAUUGUAGUACAGAGAUUCUUUGCUUGAUAUAAUAAUGCUUAUUGUAUGCCAACAUUAUGUCUACAUUUAUACAUUAUUUUACAUUUGCCUUGCCCUUUAGAAAGCUGCAUGUAUAUAUAAUAUAUCAUGCAGUUCCAUACUGACACUCAGAAAUAGCGUAUGACCCAUUUAAGUUAUGUAUGUUUUUUAAAUCCAUAAUCCAUAAAUAUAUUUCUGAUUAUUUUGUAAUAUUAUGGAAUCUGUUUAAAAUGUUUCAAAUGCACGAUAAAGAAUACCAAAUGAGAAUCCAAUGAAAGCAAGUGGUAAAUUAGUAUAUUUGUAAUAUGUUGGUAUUUCUGAACAGGUAUCGGUGUUUAAAUUUGAUAUUGUAUGCUAUUUGUAUGUACCUGCUAUACAGCCAAGUUUCAAAUAAACAGUUUGCUAUUUUUGAUUAAACAUAACUUGUUUAUUAAUGGGGUCUAUGUCUGCCUAUUUCUUUGAUCACUGUACUUUUUAUUAAUGGCGUUUUUUCCACCUACGAACCACUCUGGAUGCCAAUCUCCACUUUAUAGAUAUAAAUCCUCUCUAAAGGGUUUCUUGAUUUAUGAUUUUUCUUCUUUCACAUAUUAAAAUGUUAUUGUAAAAGGUGAGGUUAUUUCUUUUAAUCUAUAUUUUUUUCUGUUGCCUUAACUCAGCAGAACCUUGUCAAAGCCCAGCAUAAAGUGUGGUACAAAGAAAGAAUAAGAACAUAUUUUAUUAGUGAGGAUAUGUUUAUUAUUACCGACUAGUGAGCAAAGUGUUAAACGUUUCACAACCACACUAAUGCUCAUUUCUCGCAUAGAAUCUAAUUAAAAUGAUAUCACUAUCUUGUUACCAUCCUGCAAAAUGGCUAAACAGUGUUCCAAUAGGAACUGCAUUAAUAAGAGUCAAAUUAUAGCACCAGUGCUUAAAUAACGAGGAGUUAAUUAUAUGGCAAAUCAAUGUAAGCUUAAUGCAACCAGCCACCUUCCAAAUACCCCUAGAAAAUCAAUGUGCACAAAAUUAACACAUCAAACCUCUGCCUUGGGAUUGUAGAGGGAGGGCGGGUUAACACAUUAUAUGAUAUAUAAAGGACAAGUGAUACAUUUAUUUCCAUAAUGUGUUCUUAGCACUUCGAGACAUUAAUGACAAAUCAAUUACGUAUAUCAAUUUCUAAUCAUAAUUGCAAUAUACUGAAAGACGUUCUAAAUCUAAUCAUACAUUGGUAACAAACUGCAAUAAUUUAACAUAGUGUACAUAUUGAUGCAUGGUGCUUCUAACUUGGGUAGUUGUUUUAUUUUUGUUUUAUUAAGGAAAAGCAGAUAAUUCACAUCUUUUUACAUUAUUUAAUGUGGCAUGCUUCUUAAAUAAAAAGUCAUAUUUAUUUUGUUUUGAAUUUUUUUAAAUUAAUUUGUUAGAUAAUUUUCAUGCUAGUCAACAAAUUGAUGCCAAGUGAAGUAUGUAUUUUGGAGUGAGACAGAUAUACGUUAACACUUUAACCAAUGCGUUAAUUAUUGGAUUAGACUAGGUUAAAACCAUUGCCCUAUUUUUAUGCAUUUUAUAAAUAACUCUUUAAAAAAUAUUGCAAAAACGUUAGAAGUUAGAAAUAAUUUACCAACAAAGUGUUCCUCAGUUCACUGCCUGCAAGCAUGAUCCUCCCACAUGCAUGGAUGGGAUUCUCUAAUGUGGAGUAGCUCUUUUUGGUCAGUGGGUACUGAUAUCAUCCCUUAGUUCCCUUUCCGAUAGAAGUUUAUUUACUAUAUUAGAGAUUAUAAAGAUAGUAAAGAAGCCAAGAGAGGCCUUGUAUUUUUAUAUUUGUCUUACUUGUUAUCUCACGAAAACAACUUGUUUUCUCAAAAUAACAAGUCAGAAAAAUAUAAAAAAUACAUGGCCUCUCUGGUUAUCAUGCAUUGUUACAUUCCUCCUGGCAUGUUCUCAAUAAUUAACAAAGAAAGAAGUAUCAAUUUUAUAGCAUGUGGUUUACGUGAAUAUUUAUCAUGAACCCAGUUCAUUGGUAUUUGUUAAGGAAUAAGUUGUCAUAUUUUGGAAUGCAAAACACCAAAAUGGUAGCAGAAUGGAAAUUUAAAUGUAUAAAUGUGACUAUGGUGCUAAGUACAGCAAAUAUGCUGCCUUAAAAAAACAAACAGGUUCUGUAUUAACAUUCAGCUACAGGUUGACAUUCUCACCUGUACAGUUUUCCUUCCUUAUGAUUUUCCUCCUCUCCUCAAGAAACUGGUAAAGUAAGAAUCUUGUCUCAUUACCAGCUUCCUGAGUAAAAUGGUAUAGCCUAGGGUUGUGAGAUCUACUUAGACAGGCUAUUCUAAAAAUUCUAGUGUAAAGUCAACUACUGUAUGGUUGUGGUAAGCAUGGAAUGGUAUGUUGUUACAGUGAUUCUAAACAGUACAGGUCCAUGUAUCCACUUCAAAUCACUUGUGGGUAAUCUAAAGAGUCUAAUAAUGAAUUCUAUGACAUGUUGCAAUUAUAGGGAAUAUCUUGUCAUGAACUGGUAUAUGUCUAAGGAGACUUUUAUUGUGUGAAGGAAGAUCAGAUAAAAGGCAAAGGAAGAGACAGCAGCAACUACAAUUCCAUUUUCAUUUGUGCCACAUGAUUUAUUGAAGGAAGGCUUAUGUCACAGCAGAAAAUCGUGGAAAGGCUUGUUGCAGUUCACUCUGUCUGUCUAGUGCUUAAUCAUAAGCUCCUAUCAUAAGUGAAAAAGAAGCACCCUAAUCAGACACAGGACAACUUCACAUAGCACAGAUAUUCCAAUUACUGAAGCCACGUUAUCUUAUAUUUAGAAUAAUGUUAGCCCACUUAGCCCUUAUGUGAAUGUUUCAUGUAGUGAGGCAAAUUUCAGAGUGAGACACUUGCUGUUAUGGAAUCAAGUGCAACAAUAAUGGUUCAGAGCAGAAGUCAAGAGUAUCAUUGAAGUGACUUCUCUUCUGGUUUCGAUUUUCUUCCCAGAAGAACAAACCAACACCUUUCUGGUGUGAUAUUGAGUUCAUCGUAAGUGGACAAUUACAAUAUUUAUAAAUGUCUUGAUUACAUUCAAAGUCUGUGAAUGACAGAGGAUUAAAGGAAUCGUUAGAACAGUAUGGAACCACUUUAUGUAAAAAAAAUGAUGAUGUCACUUUGUCUGGGCAAUAGGACAACAAGAUCUGGUUAGAUUUCAGGCUGAACAGCACAUCAAGUAUAAUUAAUAGGAAUACAUUUCAGAAUAUACUCUAAAAUUAAGUCUAGAGGAAUCAUGUUGAUAUCCACCUUGGAGCAGAGUGCCAAAGCAAGAGCAGCACAUAAUAUUAAGCAUUGUGACAAAGGUUUUAGUUAUUUGUUUAAGGCUAUUCAGAUGCAAUGUCAGAGAUUUGUUCUGAAUGAACAAUUUUAUUUAGAUACCGUUUGUGUUUACUAAAAAAAAUGGAAGCAUGUGAAUUGAGACAUUUAUAAAACAAAAUGCAUUUAAUCACCCUCUUCUACGUGAACUCUUUGCUCUACUUUGUAAGUUGUAUCAACACAUUAUAUUUAUUUAUCUGAUACCCAUGAUUUUAAAUAUAAUAUUUUUUUGUGACUCAGCGUAAGCUAUUAAAGAGCUAAUUUAAACACAAUUAAUUAUUGAGGAAGUUGUGGCUUACCUUUAGGAUGCUAAUUGAAAGAUGACCUUUUCAUUCAUUCACUUAACUUGAACAGUAUCUCAUUGAGGUGCAUGUUUUUAUUUUCCUAAUUUUCAUAAUCAGUUUAACCUGAGUAUUACCUGAGAUAUAUUUAGUUAUUUUAUUUCAUAUUUUUAUAUAGUUAUACCAGAAAACCUGAAAGAUUUGACUUUCUUUAAAUUAUUAUGAUCUAUUUUUCAUUGUGCAAUAUUCUAUUAAAUUAAUUUGAUUGGAGCAAUGGGUGAAAUAAUGAUUACACUAUUAAUUAACAUGUCUGUAAUGUCAAGAUGUAUAAUAGAUUGCAUAUACAGACUCAAAGGAAUCCAUGUUUAAAAUGGAAUAAAGCAAAAAUGUGAUUCUUUGUUAAAGUAAUUUGCAUAUGUCCGCCCAUAAUCCUUUGCAGUAGUAACAUCAUUGCAAAUUUGUGAUUUCUGUGGGAAAAGCAAGUCUGGUGGCUUGACGGGUGUACAGAUUUUUGUUUAAUAUUAAAUCAAGGCCAUAGUGUGUAAUAUGUUGAAUAACUCUAAUCGCUGUAAAAUCUGGGAUCAAUUAAACAUUUUUAUUUAAGUAUGAUAUGCCUCAUAAACAGGUACUUAUGUACAUAUAUAUAUAUACUUUAAUGGACAUAACUGGUGACUGUGUUGAUUUAUGUUAUACAGAUAUAUUAUACUAUGCUAAGUAGUAAAUAUAGAGAUAAAAGCAUAUGUUGGAAGUGGAGCUGAAAACUUAGGGUUAAACAUUCUAUAUAUUUUACAGGGAUUCAUAAACCUAAAAGCUUUUCACAUGAGACAGCAACAUAUACAAUAGAUAAUGAAAUGACCCAUGUUUGAAUGAACUGAAAAAAGCCUUAAAAACUUAGAGCACAUAAAGUUAUAUUAUCAUACAAAGUGGAUGCAUUAACCUAUUUAUGUUUAAUUCAUGGAUUUGGCAUUUGAAUAGCCAAGAAAACAGUUGUUGGGCUUAGUACUAAACACGUAACAAAUGUAAGAUACACCUCAUAAAAGUUGCCAGUCCCUGUACUGGUCACUUAUAUUUUCUGUGUAUACACAUAUUAUGAAAAACAAUCCAAGCACCAUAACAACUACAGCCACAUAGUGUCUUGGCACUAUCCCACAAUAAGUAGUCAAACCAUUAUAGUACAGUUUUUUGCCACCCUAGGCAAACAAAAAUUUGCUGCCCCCCCAUAUGCUCUGCCCACCAUGUAACAUUACAAUGCCCCAGCCAUAUGAUCUGCCAUAUGAGCCAACGCCAGUGGCGUGUGUGUUUACAUUAAAAAGCCUGCAGGGACAGGCUAUAGACACCAGAACCACUACAUUAAGCUGUAGUGGUUCUGGUGACUAUAGUGACCUUUCAAUGUGAGGUAAAUUAGAGAUAAGUGCCACUAAUAAUAUACUGGAUUGCCUACUUACCACCAGAUGAGGACAAGAGGAUGAUGAUGGGCUCAGGCUGCAGUCUGGCUCCACUGGUCUGGUGUUAAAACAGGCUCUCUGGAGGCAGUGCUCACAAACAUCAAUGAACAGGAAGCAACUCUGGGCCUGACCGUGAGUAUGCCUACAAGGCCCACCCAUGAGUUUGCUCACAGGGAGUGGGGAGGUAAAUUAGAGAUAACUGCCACUAAUAAUAUACUGGAUUGCCUACUUACCACCAGAUGAGGACAAGAGGAUGAUGAUGGGCUCAGGCUGGAGUCUGGCUCCACUGGUCUGGUGUUAAAACAGGCUCUCUGGAGGCAGUGCUCACAAACAUCAAUGAACAGGAAGCAACUCUGGGCCUGACCGUGAGUAUGCCUACAAGGCCCACCCAUGAGUUUGCUCACAGGGAGUGGAGUGUAUGUGUGUAGGGGAUGUGUUAUGUGUUAUUGUAGAGGAUGUAAUGUGUGUGUUCUUAUGGAAUGUAGUGUAUAGGGAUACUAGUUUGUGUAAGGGAUGUAGUGUGUGUGUGUAAGGGAUGCAUUGUGUGAAUCUGUGUUUGUAUGUGUGUUUCUGUGUAUAUGUGUGUUUGUGAGGUAUGCAUUGUGUGUGUGUGUGUGUAAGGGAAGCAUGGUGUGUUUCUGUGUAUGAUGCAUUGUAUGUUUCAGUGUGCCUGUAUGUGAGUAGGGAUGCAUUGUAUGUUUCUGUGCAUGUGUGUGUAGGCAUGCGUUGUGUGCUUCUAUGUAUGUGUAAGGAUGCAUUGUGUAUGUCUUUAGUGUGAGGAGAGGGUUUGUAGGGUAGGGUAGGGGCUGAUUUUAAUUUUUUUUAUAUUUUGUUAAUAUAUUUUGUUAAUAUAUUUUUUCUUAAAGUUUUUUGUCUUACACCCCCCUUUAGUGUAUCUCUUACAAGCCCCUUGUGUGUCUCUUAUCCCCCCUCCUCUUUGUAAGCUUCUGUAUCCUCCAAACCACUUGAUGUGUCUUACUCCCCCAGCCCCUUUGUGUCUUACUCUUCCCAGCUCCUUGCUGUGUCUCUUUUCCCCUCUGGCCCCUCUGUGUGUCUCCCUCACAAGCGACUCUGCGUGUCUCUAACCUUAGCCUCUCUGUGUGUCUCUGUCUCCCCUACCAGCCCUUCUGUGCUUCUCUUUCACCCCUUCCUCAGCCUCUCUGUGUGUCUUACACUCCCUUAAUGAUCUCUACCACUUCCCCCGUCCCUUAGUGGUCUCAUCUUCACUUCUCCUCCUGUCCUCCUGUCCCUUAGAGGUCUCCCCUCUGCUCCUGCCCCUUUGUGCUCUCCUAUCCAUUACUGCUCUCCCCUCCCAUCCCUCAGUGAUCUCACCUGCACCCUGUCCCUUUGUGAUCUCCCCUGCCCCUUAGUGAUCUCCCCUGCCCUCAUGAUCCCAUGAUCCCAUGUGCCCCCCUGUCCCUUAGUGCUCUCCACUUCCCUCCUGUCCCUUAGUGAUCUCCUCUCCCCUCCCCUCCUGACCCUUAUUGCUCUCCUCUGCCCCCAAUUCCUUAAUGCUCCCCCUGACCCUUAGUGAUCUCCCCUGCACCCCCCAUUCCCAUAGUGCUCUCCCUCCCCCUGUCCCUUAGAGUCUCCCCCUUUACCCACCUUUCCUUUAUUGGUGUGUCCCCCAUCUUUCCCUUAGUAGUCUCCCCACCCCCAUCUUUCCCUUAGUAGUCUCUACCCACCUCCAUCUUUCCCUUAGUGGUAUCCCCCUGAUCUUUCUCUUAGUGGUCUCUCCUCUCCCCUUCUCCCCAUCUUUCCCUUAGUGGUCAAUUCUCAUACCCCCCCCAUCUUUCCUUGUAGUAGUCUCUCUCACCCCAUCUGUCCCUUAGUGGUGCCUGCCCCCAUGUAGUGCUGUCUCCCCCCAGUGUUCCUUAGAGCUGUCUCUCCCCACCCAGUGUCCCUUCGUGCUGUCUCUCCCCAGUGUCCCUUAGUGCUGUCUGCUCCCCAGUGUCCUGUAGUGCUGCCCCCCCAGUGUCCCCUAUUGCUGUCUCCCCCAGUGUCCCUUAGUGCUGUCCCCGUGUCCUUAAUGCUGUCUCUCCCCCAGUGUCCCUUGGGUGCUGUGUCUCCCUCCCAUUGUCCACUAGUGCUGUCUCCCCAGUGUCCCUUAGUGCUGCCCCAUUGUCCUUAGUGUGGUCUCCCCCCAGUGUUCCUUAGUGCUGUCUCUCCCCAUGUCCUUGGUGCUCUCUCCCCAGUGUCGCUUAGUGCCAUCCCCCCUCCCUUCCCUGGUGUGCCUCCUACCUCUUUGUAGCGUGGCCGGACGGUACAGACCACAGUACAGGAGUUCUGUUUCCUGUACCUGGCCGGACUGACUGGAAGUGCUCAAUCCGGCCGGGUACAGAAAACAAAACUCCUGUACUGUAGGCUGCGCUGCCCAGCCAUGCUACACUGAGUGACCCGGUAGGAGGGAGCGCUGUGCGUUUUCCUCCUACCAGGUUACUUAAAUAUGGCACCCCCUGGCUGGUGCACCCUAGGCGACUGCCUAAGUCGCAUUUAGGACGCGCCGGCCCUGACUACUAUAGUCAGGGUUAUAGUGCUUGGAGUGUUUCUUUAAUAUGAGUCAAUAUUAUUUGAAAAAAAAAAGCCUUUAACAGUAGUGUUUUGUAUAUAACAUUUAAAUUAAACCUCUUCCUAAAUCAUUUAAUGUCAUUGGAUGAUCUGUAAGAAUGUGAUUUUCCGUACAUAAUAAACACAACCAAAUUACAACAAAAAUAAUAACAUGCAAUAUAAAUGCUGUAUUGAGAACUAAUUAAGUCUCUAUUAUAAAUAUGGAAAUAUGGCUCUUGAAAACUUGUUUAGAUUUCAUUAUGUACAGAUUGUUGCUGAAUACAGGUUCACCUAAUUUUAUUUAUUUUUUUUAUCUCGUAAAGCAAUGAGAAAACGGGAGCACAUAUUGCAAGAUGUUUUAAAUGAAAAGUAAGAGUGUUUUCUGUUAUCUACAGAUGUUCUGCUCAUAUAGUUGGCAGAAUAGAACUUGUUCCAGUAAUGUUUAGUGAACUGCUGUACGAAGGAAUUUUAACUUGUUUAAAAACAAAUUUGCAUAUUGUUAAUUUACAGUUCUUGUCAAGUUAAAUUAAGUGGAUCAAAACUCCUUAGUGUAUUUUAUACUUAGUUAUAAUUUCCAAGGUGACAUCAUAAUGAAGUGUAGAAGUGGCAGACAAGGGUGGCUCAUAUGUGAGUUGAUACUGUAUAGUUUCACAGGUAGCAGUGUCUUUUCUAACUCUAUAUUUUUUACAUUAACUGCUUGCAACUUCACCUUGUCAAGAAUUGUUAUCAAAGCAGCAUUCCUUGUAUUCUUCAGCAUGCUUGAAAAAAAGAACAGUGUUCUAUGGAAUGUAAUAAGAAAAAUGUUUGACUGGUAAUUACAAGUUUAGCUUUUGCUGUUUUUCAAUUAGCUUUGGAUGUUAUUAUUUAAUAUAAUAGUCGAUAAUACUUAGUUUGUUGACUUUAGAUGGCUGAAACGCUAGACAGAGGUUUAGAUAUUAAAGAUACUGUAAUCUGAGCACUAACCUCUGACAUAUCUUUUCAGCAUAAGGCAAUUUGGGGAAGACCUUGCAAGAGAGUUAUGUUUACCAAAUCAUCUUUUGCACAGACUCUAUUCCUAUUGUUUCACAGAGUUUGACUGUGGACAUCUUUAUGCUUUCAAUGAGCAUGUCCAGUGUGUUAAGAAACCCCAUAUGAUAACAGUGAGUCAAUGCCUUCCUAUGGGGAGGCCUAAUGCGCAUACGGUGCUUGCCACUCAAGGCCCAGAGGAGGAGGGCUGAAAGCUAGCCGGAGGCAUGGGUGGGUGUGGUGGGUGUAGGUGUCACAAGUUGGGGUGUCACUUAGGUUAGAGGUGGGGUGGGGUCAUAUAAAGAGCAGUCAUUUUGUCCCCUUACCUCAGCCAUCUUACAAAUAACGGCUGGUAACAUCUUCCCUCCCACCCUUUGUUGCUUGUUUUCCAUUGCGUAUCACUAAUUCUCUUUCUUGUCACAGCUGGCGGGUAUGGUCCUUGCCGAACCAGUUGGGAAAGGAGUACACUGGAAGAAGGAAUGCUGGGUCUGGUCCCUCCCCUAACCUCAGAAAAUGUUUGGUAAUUGGGCGUGCCCUCCGUGCCAGGAAAGGCGGCCAGGGGUUGGCAUGGGGUAUUGGAAGGCCAAGGUGAAGGCCAGUUAUCUCGGACGAGGGGGGAGGGCAGGCCCCGAAAAGGGGGUACUCUAGAGUUGUUUGGUCCGGUUGGCAAGGACGAGUUUGAGUUACAUUAUGCUUAUAUUAAAG
rnacentral:lncRNA from 1 species